UACGGGGGGAGCAAGCGUUGUUCGGAUUUACUGGGCGUAAAGGGCGCGUAGGCGGCCAGCACAAGUCAGUUGUGAAAUCUCCGAGCUUAACUCGGAAAGGUCAACUGAUACUGUGCGGCUAGAGUGCGGAAGGGGCAACUGGAAUUCUUGGUGUAGCGGUGAAACGCGUAGAUAUCAAGAGGAACACCUGCGGCGAAGGCGGGUUGCUGGGCCGACACUGACGCUGAGGCGCGAAAGCCAGGGGAGCGAACGGG
rnacentral:rRNA from 1 species